rnacentral:rRNA from 1 species
AAUGAACGCUGGCGGCGUGGAUUAGGCAUGCAAGUCGAACGCGAAAGUUCCCUUCGGGGAGCGAGUAGAGUGGCGAAAGGGUGAGUAAUGCUUGGAUGACCUGCCCUCGAGACGGGGACAACAGUUCGAAAGGACUGCUAAUACCCGAUAGUCCGGUUUAGAUGCGUCUAGAUCGGUAAAUGGUGCUUCCGCUCGAGGAGGGGUUCAAGUCCUAUCAGCUUGUUGGUGAGGUAACGGCUCACCAAGGCGAUGACGGGUAGCCGGACUGAGAGGUUGGCCGGCCACAUGGGAACUGAGACACUGUCCUGACACCUACGGGAGGCUGCAGUCGAGAAUCUUCUGCAAUGGGCGAAAGCCUGACAGAGCGACGCCGCGUGGAGGAUGAAGGCCCUCGGGUUGUAAAGCUCUUUCGCCCACGACGAUGAUGACGGUAGUGGGAGAAGAAGCCCCGGCUAACUUCGUGCCAGCAGCCGCGGUAAAGUG